rnacentral:rRNA from 1 species
CGCCUGUUUAUCAAAAACAUCGCCUCCUGUCAACCAAACAUAGGAGGUCCCGCCUGCCCUGUGACAUUAUGUUUAACGGCCGCGGUAUUCUAACCGUGCAAAGGUAGCGCAAUCACUUGUCUUUUAAAUGGAGACCUGUAUGAAUGGCAUAACGAGGGCUAAACUGUCUCCUUCUUCCAGUCAAUGAAAUUGAUCUCCCCGUGCAGAAGCGGGGAUAUGCCCAUAAGACGAGAAGACCCUAUGGAGCUUAAAACGAAAGAGCAGACCAUGUUAAUACACCUUAACUAAGAGACCAAACUAAUUGAAACCUGCUCUAGUGUUUUCGGUUGGGGCGACCACGGAGCACAAUAAAACCCCCGUGCGGAACAAAUGUACCACAUUUUAAAUCAAGAGCAACAGCUCUAAAUAACAGAACUUCUGACCCACAAGAUCCGGCUAGACCGAUCAACGAACCAAGUUACCCUAGGGAUAACAGCGCAAUCCCCUUCUAGAGCCCACAUCGACAAGGGGGUUUACGACCUCGAUGUUGGAUCAGGACAUCCUAAUGGUGUAGCCGCUAUUAAGGGUUCGUUUGUUCAACGAUUAAAGUCCUACGUGAUCUGAGUUCARACCGG